GGUAAGUCAAUUUAGUCUGUUUUCUUGUAAUUUUUAUGUUUUUAAAAUUUUAGUAUUAAAUACUACUUAACCUAUGUUAAAAUUUUAGAAAAUAUUGAAUUUUUAGAUGUUGUUCAUGUUGAAUAAUUUAAGUAUUUGGGAUUAAAUUGAUAGAAUUUUAAGUUAGAAAUGAAAAAGAGAUUGAAUUGUAAAAUAAAUUAUAAGUUUUGAGUAUUAGGGACUAAAUUGUAAAAAUUUAAAAAUUUAAGGAUUUGAGUGAAAUUAGAGAGUUGAAUUUAGUUUAAAGUGGAAAUUGAAUGAAAAUAUGGAAUUAGUUUUGAAGAAAUAAAGUUAGUCUCGGUUUAGGGACUAAAUUAAAAUUUAGACAAAAGAUGAAUAAAAAUUAAAAUAUUCAAUGUGAAAUUGUAUUGUAUUGAUGAAUUUUAAUUGUUUUAAUUUCUGUAGCUAAUGUUGUACCGAAAACUUCGACUAAAAAAGGAAAAGAUAAAGUCGAUGAGGAGUAGCUCGAAAAUUCUGGUUUGUAUUUCUAUAAUCCGAAUUUAAUUAUUAAUUGUUGUAUUUUGAUUUAAAUGUUUAUGGUAAGUUAAUAAGAUAAGUGUUAGCAUUUUUUAUAUUGAAUUGAAUGUAUGUGAAAUUGUGACUUAUGUGAUAAUUGUGGCAUUAGAAAAGUGAAUUGAAACCCUAUUAACUGUAUCGAGUUGAAUCGGAUAUAGAUGGCAUGCCAUAGGAUUGGAAAAGUUCAGGGAUACUUCGACUUCGAGUCGAUGAGACACUGGGUGUCAAAUUAUUACUUCGGAUAAAUUCGAUGAGGUACUGGGUACCAAUUUACUUCGGCAUAGCCGAUGAGACACUGGUGUUAACUUAUUGCUUCGAAUUAUCCGAUGAGGCACUGAGUGUCAAACUGGUGUGUUUUGGUUAGAUCCGUGUAUCCGUCCGAGUCCCUGUCAGGUUAAUAGGGGUUAUUGAAUAAAAUAAUGUUAUGAUUGAUAUUGAGCGGUGAUUUGAAAUAUGGUUAGAGACACAUGAUUUGUGUAUUUAUGAAUUGAAUAUGAAUGAACAAUAUUGUUGUUCAAAUGAUUUGUGCUAAUAUUGUGAAAAGCUAUAUGGGAUAGCAAAUGAUAAAAAUUGAAUGUGUUAUAAAUACUUUAUUUAUGAAUUGAAUAAUUGUAUGACUAUAGUUAUUGUAUGUUAUAUUAUUUUAUUUUUAAGCAUUCGGAUUAUAGAAAUACCACUAAGUUUAUACUCAGCGUACAGUUUGUUUUCCGUGCACAGGUUAGGUUAAAGUCAGAUUGCCGAUUCAGCAUCCAUCAAUGAUCCCGAACUCAAAACGUGGUGAUGUAUAUUUUUUUUUUGUCGGCAUAUACCUAGGAUGUCUUAUACUUGUGAUUUUGGGAAGUGAAUGUAAAUGAUGUUAUAAGAUGAUGUUGGCUAGUUAUAUACAUGAUGAAACGUGUUAAGUUGAGGUUUAAUAUGAAAUGUUGAAGUUGAGGCUUAAUUGGAUAAACACAUCAAACCACACUAUCCAACUUGUUCCGGUAGUUUUUGCAACACAUAUUAUGGUUUAUA
rnacentral:lncRNA from 1 species